AUUGAACGCUGGCGGCAGGCCUAACACAUGCAAGUCGAGCGGAUGAAGGGAGCUUGCUCCUGGAUUCAGCGGCGGACGGGUGAGUAAUGCCUAGGAAUCUGCCUGGUAGUGGGGGAUAACGUCCGGAAACGGGCGCUAAUACCGCAUACGUCCUGAGGGAGAAAGCGGGGGACCUUCGGACCUUACGCUAUCAGAUGAGCCUAGGUCGGAUUAGCUAGUUGGUGGGGUAAAGGCCUACCAAGGCGACGAUCCGUAACUGGUCUGAGAGGAUGAUCAGUCACACUGGAACUGAGACACGGUCCAGACUCCUACGGGAGGCAGCAGUGGGGAAUAUUGGACAAUGGGCGAAAGCCUGAUCCAGCCAUGCCGCGUGUGUGAAGAAGGUCUUCGGAUUGUAAAGCACUUUAAGUUGGGAGGAAGGGCAGUAGGUUAAUACCUUGCUGUUUUGACGUUACCAACAGAAUAAGCACCGGCUAACUUCGUG
rnacentral:rRNA from 1 species